CGAGCGCAGCGCGUUGCAACCCGGCUGAGCCUGGCGAGAGCAAGCGGCGCGGCGGGCGUCGGCGGCGGGGCGCUCGGGGCCGGAGGAGCUGAGCGCGGUCAGGGGCUGAACCCCGCUUUCCCAGACGAACUACCACUCCGCUUGCCCACGUCCCGGGAGAUCGCAGGGCCCGUCAGUGUGCCACCGACCUCUCCGGCCGCUGCGCUUCUGGCCCGCGAGGCGUGCCACUGUCUUGGCUACCGACCGGGAGGUAAGAGGGCCGGGCUCGGCGCGCCAGGGCUGCGCGUACUGCCCAGCCUCAGAGGGGAGGGCAGACUGGGGGUUCGGCGCCUCCACCAGUGAUAGGGAAAACGUUACCCGUCAUUGGCUUCUGUUUGUCCACUCAGUGCUGUGCGGUCCGCCUCUGUCUGUCUGUCCACGUGUCUGUUGAGGGGCACACGUCCUUGUCUCUGUCCGCUGUGGGAUUUCUCUGAGAUCGUGUGAGCCUUUGCAAGCAGCAGGUGUCAGGGGCUCCAGUGUCCCCGGAGCGCAUCCAGCCGGGGGCAGAUACCGGUUUUCCUUAGAGUUUCCCCGUUCUGAAUGUCUCGGGGGGCCUUGCGCCCCAAACAGUGUCUUGCCGAGGAGGGACUGCUCCGAGGGUCAGGUCGCGGAGUCCAGCCCACAAGGAGCCAGCUCACACUGUGCAUGAGCGGGCAUGCAUCUGGCAACAGGUCUGCGCCCUGCUGCUCGGCCUUCAGCACGGUCUUCCUUCUGGUUUUCCCCUCCGCUCCCCGCUGGCCUAUACGGUCGCGCACUCCCCUACGGCGCUAGGCACCCAGCAUCGCUCCGGCACGCGACGGGUGGAGGCGAUUGAAUGUUAGAUGACACGAGGGCCCCUACUGCUGUUUAGGCUGAGAUCCCCAACCUGCCAUCGCUGCAAGAGGGUUCGGCGGUCCCUGGCAAGGGUCGUCAGCUCCAAGAAAGGUCAUAUUAGGUUGGGAAGAAAGUCAGGGACCUGGUGGAGCGCAGGCCAGGGCCGUGGCCAGGUCUCCAGCUCGCCGCUCUGGGAACCAGCGCCAGAGACAUAUUCUGGAAUGGCCCCGGCCGGACGCAUGUGCUCUUGAGAAAGGAGCUCAGGGCGCCGAGGUCCUCCGCCGCAGACUCGCUGUCCGCGUUCUCAGAGACGGCCGCCGCUCCCCAGGGGUCCAACACUACUGCCGUCCCCGGCGCGCCGCCAGGAGCCGGGUUUGAGGUCCUGAGUCCUGCUUCAUGCAGCCCAAGCUGCCCACAGGCACUCCAGCUCCACUUUAUAUUCAUGUUCGAGAACUUGUUGAUGGAAUUGAUGAAAGUGCUGAAGUUGAUCACAAUGUGGAAACAAACAAAACAAAACAAAACAAACAAAGCUUGUUCACCAAAGAGAACUGGAAGAAUUUUUGCAUGAAACAAAUCAGUUGCCUGUUUUUCCCACCUGUGCCACUUGGAGAAAAGAUAAAUAGAUCAGAAGUCAUCUUAGCUGCCUCCAUCUGAAAGGAGUGGAACUGAAGGAUGCAGUCCACGGAUGCUGGGAAUCUUUCUGUGACUUUUGUCUACCCGGUAAUGUGAAUGGAGCAGGACGUGGGCCCUGGCUGACGUUUAAGUCCUGGUUCUCGUCUCUGGACUCCCAUGCAGUUCCGGUUUCCAGCACACAAGACUUUUCUGGUAGGAAAACUAUUGAACUACAGAACACUUUUGGAGUAUCGGGGCCAAAGGGGAGGGACUGGCGUGAGGAUCAGAAAAGGGCUCUUCACAGAUCCUGUGGCAUUCUGCCUGUUGCAGCAGUGUCUGUGUGGCUGGGACGGUCGGAUCAAAUGGCAAGGGUGGCAUUCAGUGGGGAAGGCCGGCAGGGUGACAGGGGUGAAUUCAGUUACUCUCAGCCUCCUCUGAAGCCCGCCGCUUAAGUGACCCCCUUUUAGUACCUUCUGUGGUAUUGACAGAGGAGCACAAUUUGACGGGAUAAAAACCUUUUGCACUUGUAGUUAUAAAUCAAGAGAGAAAUACAAGCA